rnacentral:rRNA from 1 species
CGCAGCUUAACUGCGGGGUUGCAGGCGAUACGGGCAUAACUUGAGUGCAGUAGGGGAGACUGGAAUUCCUGGUGUAGCGGUGGAAUGCGCAGAUAUCAGGAGGAACACCGGUGGCGAAGGCGGUUCUCUGGGCAUUACCUGACGCUGAGGAGCGAAAGUGUGGGGAGCGAACAGGAUUAGAUACCCUGGUAGUCCACGCCGUA